rnacentral:rRNA from 1 species
CUACGGGUUGCUCCAGUGGGGAAUAUUGCACAAUGGAGGAAACUCUGAUGCAGCAACGCCGCGUGGAGGAUGACACAUUUCGGUGCGUAAACUCCUUUUAUAUAAGAAGAUGAUGACGGUAUUAUAUGAAUAAGCACCGGCUAACUCCGUGCCAGCAGCCGCGGUAAUACGGGGGGUGCAAGCGUUACUCGGAAUCACUGGGCGUAAAGCGAGCGCAGGCGGGUAGAUAAGUUGGAAGUGAAAUCCUAUGGCUUAACCAUAGAACUGCUUCCAAAACUGUUUACCUAGAAUAUGGGAGAGGUAGAUGGAAUUUCUGGUGUAGGGGUAAAAUCCGUAGAGAUCAGAAGGAAUACCGAUUGCGAAGGCGAUCUACUGGAACAUUAUUGACGCUGAGGCUCGAAAGCGUGGGGAGCAAACAGGAUUAGAUACCCCGGUAGUC